rnacentral:rRNA from 1 species
AGCGAACGCUGGCGGCAGGCCUAACACAUGCAAGUCGAACGAAGUCUUCGGACUUAGUGGCGGACGGGUGAGUAACACGUGGGAACGUGCCUUUAGGUUCGGAAUAACUCAGGGAAACUUGUGCUAAUACCGAAUGUGCCCUUCGGGGGAAAGAUUUAUCGCCUUUAGAGCGGCCCGCGUCUGAUUAGCUAGUUGGUGAGGUAAAGGCCUCACCAAGGCGACGAUCAGUAGCUGGUCUGAGAGGAUGAUCUGCCACAUUGGGACUGAGACACGGCCAAACCUCUAACGGGAGGCAGAGGGGGGAAAUCUUGCGCAAUGGGCGAAAGCCUGACGCAGCCAUGCCGCGUGAAUGAUGAGGGUCUUAGGAUUGUAAAAUUUUUUCCCCGGGGACGAUAAUGACGGUACCCGGAGAAGAAGCCCCGGCUAACUUCGUGCCACCCCCCGCCGUAA